rnacentral:rRNA from 1 species
GUGAGGAAUAUUGGUCAAUGGGCGGAAGCCUGAACCAGCCAAGUCGCGUGAGGGAAGAAGGCCCUGCGGGUCGCAGACCUCUUUGGACGGGGAGCAAGGCCGCCGACGUGUCGGCGGAAGGAGAGUACCCGUAGAACAAGCAUCGGCUAACUCCGUGCCAGCAGCCGCGGUAAUACGGAGGAUGCGAGCGUUAUCCGGAUUUAUUGGGUUUAAAGGGAGCGUAGAUGGGUUGUUAAGUCAGUUGUGAAAGUUUGCGGCUCAACCGUAAAAUUGCAAUUGAUACUGGCGUCCUUGAGUACAGUUGAGGUGGGCGGAAUUCGUGGUGUAGCGGUGAAAUGCUUAGAUAUCACGAAGAACUCCUAUUGCGAAGGCAGCUCACUAAACUGCAACUGACAUUGAGGCUCGAAAGUGUGGGUAUCAAACAGG